rnacentral:rRNA from 1 species
ACGUAGGAGGCAAACGUUAUCCGGAUUUACUGGGCGUAAAGCGCGUGUAGGUGGUUUGGUAAGUAGAGCGUGAAAGCUCCUGGCUCAACUGGGAGAGGUCGUGCUAAACUGCCGGACUAGAGGAUGGUAGAGGGAGGUGGAAUUCCGGGGGUAGCGGUGGAAUCCGCAGAUCCCUGGAGGAACACCAGUGGCGAAAGCGGCCUCCUAGAACGGACCUGACGCUAAGGCGCGAAAGCUAGGGUAGCAAACGG